UCCUAGUAUUAGGGAGAUUUCAAAAUGCCA
rnacentral:piRNA from 1 species